rnacentral:rRNA from 1 species
AUUGAACGCUGGCGGCAGGCCUAACACAUGCAAGUCGAGCGGAUGACGGGAGCUUGCUCCUUGAUUCAGCGGCGGACGGGUGAGUAAUACCUAGGAAUCUGCCUGAUAGUGGGGGACAACGUUUCGAAAGGAACGCUAAUACCGCAUACGUCCUACGGGAGAAAGCAGGGGACCUUCGGGCCUUGCGCUAUCAGAUGAGCCUAGGUCGGAUUAGCUAGUUGGUGAGGCAAUGGCUCACCAAGGGGACGAUCCGUAACUGGUCUGAGAGGAUGAUAAGUCACACUGGAACUGAGACACGGUCCAGACUCCUACGGGAGGCAGCAGUGGGGAAUAUUGGACAAUGGGCGAAAGCCUGAUCCAGCCAUGCCGCGUGUGUGAAGAAGGUCUUCGGAUUGUAAAGCACUUUAAGUUGGGAGGAAGGGCAGUAAGCUAAUACCUUGCUGUUUUGACGUUACCGACAGAAUAAGCACCGGCUAACUCUGUGCCAGCCGCCGCAGUAACAC